GUGCUAGCUUCGGCAGCAUAUAUACUAAAAUUGGAAUGAUACAGAGAAGAUUAGCAUGGCCACUGCUC
rnacentral:snRNA from 1 species